rnacentral:misc_RNA from 1 species
UACUAAUGUUUAAUCCACUGAGCCCAUGAAAACCAGCUUCUUCAAUUUCACUCAAUUAAGAAGUAGAAUCAUUACAUAAUUUAUAUCAAGUCAAAACAUUAUCAACAAAAUUGAAAUUAUGUUCAUAAAGUUUAGCUUGUCAGAUUUUCAGCUCAUCCUGUUACUACUUACUAUCACUUUGACCAAAUUUCAGUCAUAUUCAGAUGUGCUGAAUUAUUAGUCAGUUUGCACUAAGUUACUUUUCCUAAUCUCUAAUUCCGAAUGCCAAUCAUUAGCUUCAAUUCUCUAUACACCACCCUCUCGCGAAUAAAAUAAUAA